rnacentral:rRNA from 1 species
AACGAACGCUGGCGGCAUGCCUAACACAUGCAAGUCGAACGAGACCUUCGGGUCUAGUGGCGCACGGGUGCGUAACGCGUGGGAAUCUGCCCCUCGGUUCGGAAUAACACAGAGAAAUUUGUGCUAAUACCGGAUAAUGACUUCGGUCCAAAGAUUUAUCGCCGAGGGAUGAGCCCGCGUAAGAUUAGCUUGUUGGUGGGGUAAUGGCCUACCAAGGCGACGAUCUUUAGCUGGUCUGAGAGGAUGAUCAGCCACACUGGGACUGAGACACGGCCCAGACUCCUACGGGAGGCAGCAGUGGGGAAUAUUGGACAAUGGGCGAAAGCCUGAUCCAGCAAUGCCGCGUGAGUGAUGAAGGCCUUAGGGUUGUAAAGCACUUUCGUCCGCGAAGAUAAUGACAGUAACGGAAGAAGAAGCUCCGGCUAAAUUCGUG